rnacentral:rRNA from 1 species
CCUACGGGAGGCAGCAGUGGGGAAUAUUGGUCAAUGGGGGAAACCCUGAACCAGCCAAGCCGCGUGAAGGAUGACUGCUUUCGGAUUUUAAACUCCUUUUGUUAGAGAAGAUAAUGACGGUACCUAAAGCAUAAUCACCGGCCAACUCCGUGCCGGCAGCCGCGGUAAUACGGAGGGUGCAAGGGUUACUCGGAAUUACUGGGCGUAAAGAGCGCGUAGGCGGGUUAGCAAGUCAGAUGGGAAAUCCUAUGGCUUAACCAUAGAACUGCAUUUGACACUGUUAUUCUAGAGUAUGGGAGAGGUAGGUGGAAUUCUUGGGGUAGGGGUAAAAUGCUUAGAGAUAAAGAGGAACACUGAUUGCGAAGGCGACCUGCUAGAACAUAACUGACGCUGAUGCGCGAAAGCGUGGGGAGCAAACAGGAUUAGAUACCCGUGUAGUC